AAUGAUAUAAAAUAAUCGGUGUAAGAUAUCGAAAAAGAAAACUCCGAAGGAACUGUUUGUGGUAAAACAAAAGUUAAUUCAUUUUAUUUUGUUCUUUUUUUUUCACAAUUGGUACAUUUGACGCUUCUAAAUUUCGCCGCGCCAAUCACCUGCUUGGUCUACUUGUAUGUAAACCCGACGCUGGUGUAUUUGAUUAUUGUAUUCGGUGUUGAUGAGUAUCAAGAUAAUUUUUAAUUUUUAAAACGUCGAAAUAAAGAAAACGUCGAAACACGUGUUUAAAAUGUGCCAGAUACGGUACACGUUUGGACAUCUAAAACUCCGUGCGAUUGAUGCAACUUAAAAAUGAAUACGUAAUAACCGUAUUAAUUGUAUACGAAGUUACGAAUAUUAGAUUUUGAGAGAAGGCGUUUUUUUAUAAUUGAAUUUUUUUGUUCGUAUAUGUGUGUCUGUAAACGGUUUAGAUACAUUCUUGUAGAAUUGUCGAUAUAAUUGCCGCAUUGGGGAAGUAGCUUUUUAAUAUUAUCCGUAGUUUUU